AAUUAAUGCUGCUGCUGUUCAUACCUGUAUUGCCGUCCGUAAGCUAGCUCGACUCCUAGCAUGUCCGUGUUUCUUCAGGACGUUUUUAACCGUGUUUACACAGUGCUGACAGCUGUUGCCCGUGUUCAGACUCCGUUUUUCGGCUGUUGCUCACAUCAGCUGUGAACCAAAAAAACGCACUUCAUGGCGGCAGAAGUGGAGUUCUCCUGUCCAUUUCAGUGACCAACUCUGUAAAAGUCCAUUCUUCUCACAGCUUCACUUCAUCAAGAAAUGUGUGAAAUCUAAGGUUCGAUCUGUCCAUCCUCAGACGUGUGAAGCAGUUUCAAGAGGCCACAACGGAAAACUAACCAGACUUCAAGGAUUGUGGAAGACAAGGAAUGCAGACAGUCUCAUGGAUUCAAAAGAAGCUUAAGCAGACUGUGCUGCUGGAUGGCCAUAGGUGGAGGCAGAGGUACUGAGUCAGCACCCUCCUCGCCCUCCUCCUCGCCGCAGCUCUGCAUGCCCGAAGAACUUGACUUGGACAACGUGCCGCUCGACAAGCCCUCGUUACGAACCCUCUGCGGCACACAUGGAUGGCACGGUAGAGAUUACAUCAC